CAGAGUCUAACGAUACGGAGUCUAACCUCAAAAACGAGGUUUUUUGAAUUAUUUAUAAAAAAUAAAAACUUAAUUAAACAAGGAUUCUAUUUGCUGGAAAUCUGCCAAAACGCGGCUGGGUCGACGGACCUCGCGACGGAUCGUCGUGGUCACGACGAACCGUCAUGGACUCCGUCAUCCCAUACUUAUGCAAUUUCUUCUGCUUCUCUCUUCAUUACCCUCGAUGGCAAGUAUGACGGACCGUCAUAGGCAUAACGGUCCGUCGAGGGUCUUCGUUCCACGGUAUAUCACAAGUCAACAUGCAUAUCAACAUAAUUGAGUGCAUAAUCAAGACAACUCUAUCAUCAAGUUAUAAUAUCAACAAGUAUGUAUAAGAGUUCAUAACAUAAUAACCAAAACAAGACCAUCACUCAUACACCCCUAUUAAGUUCGCUAGUGCAAUGUCCAAGUAAGGCCCCAUAACCUCACUCAACCAAGUAUACUCAGCAAGAACCAUAAGCAACACCCAACUUCACAUAUCGUAUCAUUAAGACUAAACAUCACCAUACUUUGACAAUAGAGACUAACCACAUGUUCAUAAGUGAAACCAAUAUAAUGGCAUUAACAUGUUGUAUCAACAUAUACACAUCAUUUACAUUUAUAAGCAUAUAAUCAUAUAGGAACAUCCUUUUAAGACUCCCUUCAAGGAUAACUAGUGCAAUGUAUAGCUAGAGUCCCAUACCCCUACCUAGACUAAGUCAAACCCUUCAAGUCAUCCUAGUUAGAAUUCACUUUAUUACUUCAUUUUACUUUUGGGAACAUCUUGCCUUAACUGACAUAGACCAUAUGAGCCAAUGUGAAAUUCGGUGUCGUGAAACCCUACACCAAAGGAAGGUAGAUUACUUGUCAAGGUAGUAUCAAAACAUGAACAUAGCACAUAUGUGGAUCCACUAGCUAGUUUUCCUAUGUGGACAAUAUAGUUCAAGAACUAGGAGAUAUAGUUGGGACCCUCUUUAUGCUACAUGCAUUAUAGUCUCCAAUCUCAUAAGUACAUUAGUUUUCCUAUCUUACCUAUGUGGGAAGAGAUGCUCCUCACUGCUAGUUCACUCGGUUCUAAGUUAGAGUCCCUUUUGAAAUGUCUUUCAUUAAUAAUCAUAACUUAGUUUAGGUCAUAGGGUCUACUCCUUAUAUAGUCAUAGUCAUAGCUCAAAAGGAAUUGCAUGAGAACACCUUUCAUUACAACCCUCAUAUGUGAGAUUAGCACAUUAACGUCAUUAUAUCGUACUAAGGCACAUAGGUACUUCAUCACCAACCUUAUAUCAAUACAUCUUAAGCAUAAUCUAACAAUCACAUAAUCAAGACAUUCUAAUUCAACAGCAUACCAACCCUAAUCAAUCUUAUCAUAAGGUAUACUUCAAUAUAACUUCAUCACUAAACACAAGUAAUCAUCUCCUUCACAAGCAAUCAUCAAGGUCUUACAAUCAACCAUCCAAUUCAACUCAACAAUGGGUGUAAUAUCAUCACACAAUAGUAAUUAACACAAUAAUAAAGUCAAUGGAAUCACUACACAAUAAUUCAUCACUAGUUCAUAGCCUAGGGUUACGAACUUAGGUCAAAUUCAUGAUCUACAUCACAACCUAGGUUAAUUAAUCAAUAAUUAGCAUAAUUGAUUACAAUACAUCAUAAUAUACUCAUAAUUAUUCAAAUAAAUCGUAAACAAAGCCAAUUAGAGGAUCAAUUUCGUAAUAGAAGAAAACCCAUCUAAAACUCUUCUUUUCGAAAUCAAUUUGAAGGAACCCUUUUGGAAAAGAAAUUCCAAAGGUGAAAGGAAUAUCAUACCAUACUAAUUGAUGAAUUUUGAUGGAAAAUAGCCUCCUUCUUGCAGCCCUAGAACCCUCCUUUGUU
rnacentral:lncRNA from 1 species